CCCUUGAUAUACAUGUGUACCUGUUGUGAGGUACAUUGUUUUUGUUAGUACUGUAACUGCUGAUAUUAUCAUUAUUUUUCUGAGUAAUUUAAGGCAAAGUUUAAUAAAAGUUUAAAUUAUAUUGAAUUUCAGGUUAGUCAAAUAUGGAAAGUGCUCACAGCUUCACUUGGAGUUCGCACAAACAUUACAUGUGUAUCUCAUGAUAGGAAUUCUUACCUGGGUCAGAUCAAAAUCUGUCUUAGUAAAUCAUUUGGUUUACUGGACUGUGGGGUAAUGCAUACUGCUAGAAACGUUUCAUCAAAAUUUAGUGAUUUCUUUGAAGAAUGCCGGCAUGGGGAGGAAACCGAUGUUUACUACACACUUCCUCCAUCUUCUCCAUGGCAACAGCAGAUUGGUAUUAUUUCGGCAUAGUUCUCCAUGACAACAACAAAUCAGCGUUACAUGUUUGUUUAUAUUUCUCAGGUUUUAUGCAUAUCAUAAAUAUCUUAUGAGACUUUUUUUCUCAUUAAAAAAGUGCAUAUUUUGUUGCGAGUAGUUAAUUUACAUAUUAUUAAAUAAAAAGGUAAAAAUUGCACACCUAAUGAUACGAGUGCCUUACAAACGUUUUUCUUGGAUGGGAUUUAGCUCAGUUGGUAGAGUGAUUGCCUGAUGUGCUCAGUUAAUAAUUUUAUUGUAAAGUUAACCUUUAAUAGAAGAGAACUGUAUUUACACUUAGGCGGUUCUGCAAUGGAACAAUGCAAUGGUAAGAGAAACAAACUACACAAAAUUAAUUACGGACCAGGCUAGGGAUUUUCGAAGCUAUCUUAGCGUAACAAAAUCGUAAAACCAUCAUAGGCUAUGACUUCACUACAGCACAUAAUGGUUUUACGAUUUCGUAGCGUUAAGAUAGCUUCGAAAAUAUGGGCCCGGUAGACUUUUGGUAUUUUGGUGCCUGUGUUUUAUUAUUUUAGUAAGUUUUGAUCACAGAUGACGUUAAACACUAUUUCAGUAAAAUCUGACCCAUGAUACAUGCAAAAACCUUGCACAUAGUAGGUUUUUCAUGCAUUUAUGAAAAUUACAGAAAUGCUCAUUUGGCUAGGAAUCGUUACAUGUUUGUAAUGAUACUUGAUAUUUUGUUUGGUCUAAAUUGUUGUUUUAAAUUAUCAAUUUUAAGAACAUUUCAAAUUGUUGACACCUUACAAUGGAAGAUGGGUUUUUUCUGGGGGGUUUUGUUUUUUUACCAUAUUUAAAGAAUAAUGCAAAAUAUAUCUACUGGCCCUUGCUUAAUUUUGUUCAGUUAAUCAGAGUAGGACAAGAUGUUAACAGGAGGUUAUUAACUAUAUUGAAUACAAUUCUUGAUAUAUCUCUGUGUGUGUGUAGGUAGGUAUUUAUGUAGGUAGAUUACCCACAUCGUUUGUAAUAAACAGUUACCCGGUACAUAAAUAUUGUAUUUUUCCAGGCUAUCUUUAUGACAUGGGUCAUAAUAAAACAUUGAAUA